rnacentral:tRNA from 1 species
AUGAGACUCCUGGGCCAUUAGCUCAGGUGGUUAGAGCGCACCCCUGAUAAGGGUGAGGUCCCUGGUUCAAGUCCAGGAUGGCCCAUUCGGUGUUGGGGGUUUAGCUCAGUUGGUAGAGCGCCUGCUUUGCAAGCAGGAUGUCAGGAGUUCGAGUCUCCUAACCUCCACUGGCCAACCUUGAUUCCCAACUUCAAAUUAUUGGAGAUUUAAUUCGAUUGUGAUGUGUGAUUUAGAUGUGUCCGCUGGAUGACCCCAGCUUCCUGUCAUUCCAAAAAAUGAGUGUUGACUCAGAAAUUGGUUGAUAAGACGCUGGGCUCGAACAAGAGUGUUGAGCGAUCAACAUUUUUGAUUUGAAGUCUAGCAGAACCUUGACAACUGCAUAGGA